rnacentral:rRNA from 1 species
AUUGAACGCUGGCGGCAUGCCUUACACAUGCAAGUCGAACGGUAACAGGUCUUCGGAUGCUGACGAGUGGCGAACGGGUGAGUAAUACAUCGGAACGUGCCCGAUCGUGGGGGAUAACGGAGCGAAAGCUUUGCUAAUACCGCAUACGAUCUACGGAUGAAAGCAGGGGACCGCAAGGCCUUGCGCGGACGGAGCGGCCGAUGGCAGAUUAGGUAGUUGGUGGGAUAAAAGCUUACCAAGCCGACGAUCUGUAGCUGGUCUGAGAGGACGACCAGCCACACUGGGACUGAGACACGGCCCAGACUCCUACGGGAGGCAGCAGUGGGGAAUUUUGGACAAUGGGCGAAAGCCUGAUCCAGCCAUGCCGCGUGCAGGAUGAAGGCCUUCGGGUUGUAAACUGCUUUUGUACGGAACGAA